AGGAUAUUACAACAGGAGAAAAGGAAUGUAUUUAUGAGACAACUAGAGGAGGCCAACCGGAUCACCACCUAUCUACACACUCAGUUGAAGAGCCUAUCAGCCAGUAAUCUGACUGUUUCAGUCCAGCAGUAGCCGUGGCUCUUUAGCCUCCAGUCGUGGCUCUUUAGCUUCCAGCCGUGGUUCUCUCAGUUCUGUCAGCUUUACCGACAUCUAUGGCCUGCCCCAGUAUGAGCGUCCAGAGGGCAGCUCUGAUGUUCCGGACCCUUCUUUCCGAUACCUUCUCCCAUUGGAGACCCACAGCAGGGAUGGUUCAGCCUUCGGCCCAAAACGCUCCCACGACACACCGCAGUCUCUCACAUCUCUUUCCUCUCGGUCCUCGCUGUCCUCUCUUUCACCGCCCAGCUCCCCAUGGACACCCCCUACCACUCCGCCCCCCAGAUUGCCUUCUGGCCCAGAUGACUGAGGAGUACAUGGAGGUGGCUGGCAGGGGUUGUUGAUGGAAGGGCUGCGGUGUCAGACCCAAGCCCAGCAGCAAUCGAGAUCUUCCUGGGGAAGGGAAAUGGGAGGCCCAGCCACUGCAUACCUCCUUGAAGGAAAGACCCAUCGAGAUGGAGGGCUCCAGGGCACACACAGCUCCACAGGAGUGACUCUGCGCUGUAAGAGUGUGAGUAGGACCAGCAGAAGGGCAAGACGCAGUGUCUGCUGGAGUCAAUGAAGAUGUUUUGGCAACAGACAGUGGGGUGUUUGAAACUUGGAGCAGAAGUAGGACAGAGGAAUCGGAGGAAGUCACUUUUGCUCAAGACGUCACAGCCUUAGAGCCAGUUCAGAUUCAGCUUGGUCUUCUGUA